rnacentral:lncRNA from 1 species
UUUCAUGGGAGAAGCGCUAAACUUUACCUCAACAUUUAUGUAAAGUUAAAGCUGCACAGAUUCUGAGUCUUGAAAGUUUAUUUCAAAGAAAAGACAAUGCCUGUGCCACAUAUUUGACUUGGUUUUAUAAAUAUUACGAAGCUCCAGGAAAUAUGAGCAGGAUCUCAAAUAUAUUCAACAAGAAACAACAUGGUGCUCUUUUCUGGCAGCUUCCAAUUUUUGUCUUUUGAGAUGGUUGCUCUUGGAACACAGAAAUAUGCUUUAAGAUGUCAAGCCUCCUCUGCUGAUGCUGUAUGGAGAACAGACAAGCUUUCCCAUCAAGCCCUAACCAAACUGCAGAACUGUGAAUAAAAUCAAUAAUUGUUAUGAAAAGGC